UAUCUAGGGGCAAAUGAAAAGAUCAUUUUGGGGAUGAGCAGCCUUUCCUAUGCUUGCUUGUGCUUAAUAAUCUGUUGGCUUGUAUCUGUUGGUUUGUAUUAUACAUGAUCACUUUUCCUUUUUCUUCUUUAUUUUGUUUUCUAAUCUUUUUGCUUUGGAGUUCUGGUAUUUCUCACUUUUUGGCAGGUUGUAUACUACUUUUGGAAGGAGCCAAGGUUGGUUGACUUGGAACCCAUCAUUCUUUUUAUGUUUUGGAUUGGCAUGGCUCCGGUGAGAUCUUUCCAAACUCUCUUCUAUUUAUUUUAUCUUGCUUAGUUCCUAGGAGCGGAGUUAGGAUUAAGUUGAUUGAUUCAUGGAUGUUUGCAUACUUGGAAUUGUGUACUGAGAAUUGUGUGAAUUGAUGCUUUCAUUCUUGAGUUCCUCUUCUAUCCUUCUAUCCCUUCCUUUCUAUUUUUGUUGAAGAGUAGCAACGGGGCGAGGUUCACACCUCGUGAGAGGCGCCCGGCUUUAUGCCUAGGAGGACGUGCAUUCAAUUCACGUACCUUCUACCGCCCCCAUUUAUGGAAUUUAUUCCAAACGAAGUCCUACUUCUCUUGUUGCUCUUCAAUGUUUUCUUUUUAUUUUUCUUUCUCUUAGUGUUAUCCAAGGCAAGUGUUAAAACUUUGUUUUGUGUUUGGCUGAAUUAGUAGCUACAAUGUAUGAACAUAUAUGAGUUGGUUCCUUGGUUUGAUAGGUUUACAAGGUCUUUAAUGUUUUGGUUGAAAAUCACAUAGCUUCAUUGCUCAAAUGACUCCUAUUGGACAUAUCUUGGGCUAUUUAGGCCUUGAUCCCUUUUGUCCUCGGUUUGUGGUUGUGGGCGUAGCUCAUCUUGUGAAUGAAAGCUAGGUGGCUAGAAAUUUGGAGACUUAGUGUUUUGCUACUUGAUCUAAAACUCGCUCCAUUUGACUCUUGAGACCGCGACCGAAUCGACUCAUAGGAUGAUAAAGGCAUUCAUUUCGGGAUAAGGGCAUAAUUUUUCGUUCUUUUUAGAUCCUUUUUUUUAUUUCCUAGGACACCUUUACUUUCAAAUUUCAGGUUUUUGGGUUUACAUUCACCUUUUGCGUACCCCCUUGAGCCUUCCACUUUUUGUCUACCCGCAUUACAAGCCUUAUGAACCUAAUUUUAUUUUCACCUUUACAGAAAUGAGUGAAACUCGAGCUUGGCUUUGUAUCUAAGUUAAAAGUUUGGCAUAGUGGAUGUCUAUAAUGUAAAUUGCAAGGGACGUGUUUGUUUCCCCAAUUAAAUCUUUUGGUAAAAAAAAAAAAAAAAAAAAAAAAAAA